rnacentral:rRNA from 1 species
AUUGAACGCUGGCGGCAGGCCUAACACAUGCAAGUCGAGCGGAGCGGCGGACGGGUGAGUAAUGGCUAGGAAUCUGCAUGGGAGCGGGGGAUGACGUCAGGUAACGGGCGCUGAUACCGAUUACUAUUAGCUGCGCCUAGGUCGGAUUAGCUAGUUGGUGGGGUAAAGGCCUACCAAGGCGACGAUCCGGACCUGGUCUGAGAGGAUGAUCAGUAACACUGGAACUGAGACACGGUCCAGACUCCUACGGGAGGCAGCAGUGGGGAAUAUUGGACAAUGGGCGAAAGCCUGAUGCAGCCAUGCCGCGUGUGUGAAGAAGGUCUUCGGGUUGUAAAGCACUUUAAGUUGGGAGGCGUUACUAACAGAAUAAGCACCGGCUAACUUCGUGCCAGCAGCCGCGGUAAUUC